GCGUAUCUAUGAUGUCCAAUUCAGAAUUUUCGGUUUUCUCCUUAGGGGUUUGAGGAAGGAAUUUAGGGUUCUAACUCUUUUCUCCCACCUAGGAUUAUCCCCAAGUGUCGAGGUUGUAGUUUGUGCUGUGAACUUUUUUGACCUUUUGCUGAUGUUGAUCAGUGAAAUUUCAAGGAGCUAAAUGCGUUAGGAGGACAUAAAUUCCUGGUUCUAAAUCUUGCAUCAGUGGGCUGUUAUCCUUCAUUGUUAGUAGGGCUUCCUCACAACAGCUCAGACAUUGACGCGCUCGGAUGCCCGAUCUCAUACAACAGUGCAGUGGUGG
rnacentral:misc_RNA from 1 species